UUUGACUUCAGACGAUCUCUGAAGAGCAGAGCUGGACUUGGAAGGAACUGCAGAAGGCAUCUAUUCCAACAUCCCUCCUCCGAGAUCCUCAACGAGUGGUCAUCCAGCCUCCCUUGGACGAUCUCCAUUGAGGUCCUGGCACUUCAAGGGUCCUGGCACUGAGCCUCGGGGGUCACAUGGAGAGUCCUGUGUGUGCCUUUCAUCUGUGCCUGUGGGCAGACCAGAGCCAGCAUACCAGUGAACAGGAAUCUUCCCCAGGCCCUGCCUCUCCUCCAGAUCUCCUGCAUCAUCCAAGGGGUACUGCAGACCUGUCUCCAUGCCAGCAGCUCUGGAGAUCUGCUCCUUUUAAGGACCAUCAGAGUUUUUGUUUGUGAUUCAGUCACCUUACUCUAUCAGUUCAUAAAAGUCUUCCCAGGUUUCUCAGAAACCUUCCCCCUUUUUGUAUCUUUCAAUACAACAUUCAGAUCCUGUCAUGUAUUCAGUCC
rnacentral:lncRNA from 1 species